AAAGAGUGUUCUGUGCAACACCAGCUCCAGGAGGCACUUGGCAGAAACUGGGUUUCAUUGUCAGGUGUAGACAACUUCGCAUGGCAGAAGUUGGAAUGCCACACGGGAGAGGCCGGGUCCCCUCAUCUGCCUGUCAGCACCUCUUCAUUAUGGCUGGGCUAAUUCGAAAUGAGCGGACGCCUUGCCCCCCACCUCCCUACCCCGGGGGGCUCUUCUUACCCAGCAGAUGUUCAUCUGCGUGCCCACAGCAGGUGAUAAGAGCCUGUGACUUCCCCGGUGUGCCCGGUGGGGAAGCUCCCGUCGGUGAGCCAGGAGCUGUCGUGGGCAGGGAGGAGCAGGCCGGGCAUCGUGCCCAUGAGGAGCCCGAAACACAAAAUGGACAAGACGCCAUGAGGCCAAAGGGCGCCAGGACGAUGGAGGAGUGUUCGCUUCCUCACCCAGUUCCAGGGUGCAGAGUGGGUUUCCAGGACUCUUACGACAGGUUACCAGCGAACUCCAUCAUUAUCAACAUUCACUCUCCUGAUGGUUUUUUUUUUUUUAACUUUAAUUCUUAGAAUCAUGCACAGCAGAUAAACUGCCAACACUUGC